ACAUGCCUACAUCAUAGUGGUAGUGCAUUGGAUCCCAUUAUAACUCUAUAGUUAAGUGCACUCAGGCUAGAUUAAUAAUGGGAUCGGUGACUGCUCGAAAAGUCCUAGUAUUUUACAUGCC
rnacentral:rRNA from 1 species